UACGUAGGGGGCAAGCGUUGCUCGGAAUUACUGGGCGUAAAGGGCUCGUAGGCGGCCAACUAAGUCGGACGUGAAAUCCCUCGGCUUAACCGGGGAACUGCGUCCAAUACUGGAUGGCUUGAGUUUGGGAGAGGGAUGCGGAAUUCCAGGUGUAGCGGUGAAAUGCGUAGAUAUCGGAAGGAACACCUGUGGCGAAAGCGGCUCACUGGACCAUAACUGACGCUGAGGCGCGAAAGCUAGGGGAGCAAACAGG
rnacentral:rRNA from 1 species